rnacentral:rRNA from 1 species
CCCGGGGAACUGAAACAUCUAAGUACCCGGAGGAAAGGAAAUCAACAGAGACUCCGUUAGUAGUGGCGAGCGAACGCGGACCAGCCGAGCCUCGAAAAGUGAGCAGAACCGUCUGGAAAGGCGGGCCAUAGUGGGUGACAGCCCCGUAUGCGAAGCUUCAGAGGACAUAUCAAGUAGGGCGGGACACGUGUAAUCCUGUCUGAAGAUCGGGGGACCACCCCCGAAGGCUAAGUACUCCUUGCUGACCGAUAGCGAACCAGUACCGUGAGGGAAAGGUGAAAAGCACCCCGACGAGGGGAGUGAAACAGUACCUGAAACCGGACGCCUACAAGCAGUCGGAGGGGCCUUGAGCCCUGACGGCGUACCUUUUGUAUAAUGGGUCAACGACUUGGUCUAACGAGCGAGCUUAAGCCGAUAGGUGGAGGCGCAGCGAAAGCGAGUCUUAAAAGGGCGCAUGAGUUCGUUGGAUCAGACCCGAAACCAGGUGAUCUAGCCAUGAGCAGGAUGAAGGUUGGGUAACACCAACUGGAGGUCCGAACCAACACCCGUUGAAAAGGGUCUAGG